UUACAGAGGGGAAUGAAACAGGCAAAACACACACACACACAUGAAAGAUCCCACGCAGAGAGACCCUUACUCAAGUCUUGGGAAAUCGCGGACCCCAGACACAGAGAGACCA
rnacentral:pre_miRNA from 14 species